UCUUAUGUCCUCAGUAGGGUCAGUCUUGGUUAGUGCCUGGAUGAGACACCACAUAGGAAGACCAAGUGUCAUAAGGU
rnacentral:rRNA from 1 species